rnacentral:rRNA from 1 species
GAUUAAAAAAAAAAAAGAACACGCCCGAUCUCGUCCGAUCUCGGAAGCCAAGCAGGGUCGGGCCUGGUUAGUACUUGGAUGGGAGACGGCCUGGGAAUACCAGGUGCUGUAAGCU